CGGAAACACAUGGUGCCCAGAAGGGCUUAAUUAGUAGCAGCUGUGCGGGGUGAUGCACAGAGUGCCCCAAGGGUGUCCUGAGUGAGGGUGGAUGUCCCCUGCCCUCUGGCUUCGUGAAGGCUUCGUGAAGCCUGCCGGGUCACCCUUGUUUUCAUGGAUAGCUUCUUUAGGACACUCUCUCCACCAGUAAUUGACAAAGUCUGCUUCUGUUGAGUGUCUGAUAAAGGAUUGAGUUUACAUGAUUGUUAAGAUAGGAUCAUGAAAGAAGACAGAAGACGGAUGUGAGUGGCCCUCAGAAAAAAAGCAUCAAAGGAAACUGAGGAGUCUGUGUUCCGAGUUAUAACAUCAGUCCUGUGUUGAAAGCAUAUUGACUUUCCUGACUUCUUAUGACCACAUUUGAGGAAAGGAGUAAGCACUGGAAUCACCAACACAGCAUGCUUACGGAGGGUGGUCACCAGCUUCAUCAGCCUCCCAAUUCCACGGAGCCCCUUGAAAAUCCAGGAGCGCAGACUGGCAACAGUAGAGAUUUAAUAGUCACUGUUUUAUAGGGGAACUCGAGAAGCAGUCAGGAAGGAAGGUCUCG
rnacentral:lncRNA from 1 species